CAAAUCAGCUUGACUCAUUACACUUCUCUUGCUUUCCACAGACUCUGUUGGCUUCUUAACCGAGAUCUUUACAAUCAAUCUUUUCUUUUGUUUGUCAUUUGAAAGAGAUUCCAGCUUCUGAGAUGGCUUCUCCAACUGUUGCAAAGGUGAUGCGCUUCUAUCAGAGUCACUAUUGGAUGAAUCAUCAGCUUCAUCCGAAGAGCUUCCAGAAAUCUUUGAAAGCAAGGACCGAGCAUUUUGCGCGGCUGCUCUUUGCGGUCGUGAUUCCUUGACAUCAGAAUAUCUUCUUUUUGAAGCCUUCACGCCAAUUCUUCUGUUUUUGAUUCUCUUAUUUCCAAAUUCGGAGCUAUCAAUCUCAUCCAAAAUCCUCUUAUCACGCCUUCCAGAUGAAGUAGCCACAUCAGCCUGAGAAAACGGGAGUUAGUCAAUAGAUAACAAAUAACAAAAUCGCAUGAGAUGAACAAAACAUACUCUAGGAUGUUGUCUUCGUCUUUUCCGAUUAUAACUAUUUUCGUAAAUAUUUUCAACGUCACUGUCCUCGGAACUGCACUCAAGUUCAUUUGAAGAGUUGGAACAUGGGCUUGCCUUAGCUCCAUCAGAGGAAACUUCAGCAUUGUACUCCGAAUCAUUGUCAUCACUCAGAACUUCAUGUUCUGGUUCCCAGUACAUAGCAUCUAUAAACUCAGGCAGUGGCUCGAUCAAUCUAUCCAGAUCUGCCAAAGGAGGCAUAAUAUAAUCUUGACCUAGACUAAAAUCAGGGCCAACAGAAAACUUUAUCGAGGAAGGACGCCAUUCGACUCCUAAUGCACCCAGUCUGCGUUGCUGAAACAUUGUCUGGUCAGGUUCUGGAUACGGAAUCAUACCUGAAAAUUUUUAAAACAAACACCAAGAAUAUAUGCCAUGAAUAACCAAUAUCUUGCAUAAAAGACAUAAAGAUAAGCUUUUGGGUACAAACUUGAAUCACAAAGAAGAUCUUGAAGGUUCCUCCGAUGGGGAAGAAGCUGAGUCUCCUGCACCGUGGAAAUUAUAGCUUUAAAUUUAGUCACAAUGAAACUGCAAGGAUAUCAUUCAUACAUCUCCGCCUUUUUAAUUCGAUAAAUGCAUAAAAGUGUGCAUGUUUCGGUGAGCUCUCUUUAAAAGAACGCAACAAUAACUAGAAGCAAAACAGGAGAUACAAGUAUUUGAAACCAACCUGAUCAAGAACAUGUCCAUUGGUAUCUCGAAUAAGAGGACGGUAAUCACCAAGGAAGAACUUACACAAAACAAGAAAAGACAAAGGAUCAGAAAGCAAUAGAGGAUCACUAAAAACUGCAGCCAUAUAUAAGAAAAAGAUUAUGCAUUAGGGAUGCAAAAUCCACCAUAAGUUUUGUGCAUUCUGAAAGGUCGUCGUCGUCUAAAUAAAUAGAUCUCUCGCUCGGGAAAAAGUUGCAGGAAACCCUAAACCGAUCCCAAAUUCGUUGCGGCUGAGAUAUCGAUUCGAUAUGGCAGGAGGAGGAGGUGGGUAGUUUUGGAUUUCGAUUACUUUUUUGUAGAUUAAAGCGGAUAUUAAUGGUGAUUGAUUUAUGUGGUAGGUGAUGCGGCGUUACAAAGGCGGACGGGAGUGUGGUGGGACCUGAACACGUGUCCGGUUCCCGAUGGUUUUGACCCUCGUCGUGUGCGUGGGUGCAUAGAAUCAGCGGUGCACAAGCAGAUGGGUCAUCGUUCUAAAGUCGUCAUCUAUGCCAUGGGCAACCUAGAAUACAUCUCUAGUGACCUCUUGGAAGAGAUAGCUUACUCUGGAAUCGUUCUUGUCCACGCUCCCUGCGGUAUUAAAAUCCUCUCCUCUCUGGAAUAAUAAUAAUUAUUAUUAUAUCGAUUUGUCAGAGAGUAAUAUCUUUUAUUUCUAGGUGGGAACGACUUCAGAAAGUUACUGGGCGAAUGGUCUCAGCUUAACCCAUCAUCUCCGGCUUAUACUGUCAUGCUCAUAUCCUGCAAUUAUACGAUGGUUGAUCCUUAUCUUUUUCGGCCUACUCGAUUCACUGCUUUUUGUCUAUAUCCAAAAGAUAGCCGGCCAGUUACCCUUGACCAGCAGCCAGUAGCUCAGAAUGUUUUUGUGGGAGAGUUUGUCUGGGAAACUUUAUUGAAUGACAACAUCACAUGUGAGAUGAUGACCGUGAAUGAAGAUGAACCUCUCUGCAUUUGCGACAUAUGCGAUGACACUUUCGAAAUAUGUGCCGAAUUCAUCACUCAUCUCAAGAGUGAAGAACACAUAAAGGAGGUAAGCGAGCGAGCCUCCUCCUCUUCAGCUUUUGUAUCAUUGUCAUGUAACCUCUCUGUGUGUGUGUGUGUGCAGUUGUCUGAUAUAGUGCCUAGAGACUCCUGGUACGGUAAGCCUAUGCAUUUUUGCCAUGUUUGCAAUUAUCCCGGCUACGACGAAUAUAACAUGCUCCUCCAUAACCAAAGUGAAGAUCAUCAUCGCAAGGUAAAGCAUCCUUGCCUCUUUGCUCCUCUGACCAACUCUUCUGUAUCAAUAAAAUUUGAUCCCGUUUUGGUUUGUUUUCAAGCAGAAGAAUCUGGCUGAGAAAAUGGCUCAAGAAGAGGAUUGCGAGAGCAGGAAGAGAAAUCCACAAGUAGAUCUCUUUUACGAGAGAAACAAGAAGCAAUCUCUUUGAACGAGGCAAACAAGCUAGAGCGUGUGCAUGCCCCAUGGGGUCUGUGUUAAGUUUACUUUUGUCGAUUAAUUAAAAUGAAACUCUCAAAGGGGGAUUGAUGAUGAUUGUGUUCUUGGCGAAAAUUAUGCGAGUGUGAGAGACAAGCCUUUACCUUUUUAUCUCUUUAGGAAACUGUAGGGGAAGGAAACCAAGAAACUGUUAUUGUGUCUCAUAUGGACUAAACAUAUUUUUGGCCAUCUCUACUGACUGAGUUGCAAAACUCACUACUUUUUAAACGGAACUGCUUACAUCACUAGUUAACAAAAGAAAAAAACAAUGUCGCUUCUUUUAAUGGGCACAAAUAAAACCAGACUUGUUAUGUCACUCCUGUGACAAAAGAGUGCAUUUCUAUUACAUACAUGUUAGUCUCGUGGAACUAAAGCUGCCCCGAUCUAUAGCAUAAACCUUGUGCCGGGUGUGUGUGACUCACUCACCCAAACGUUUCUUUUGUUCCCUAAAGUGACAACUCUUACAUUUUCUUCGCUAUAUAUAAUUCUUAUAGAAAAAAAUGGCCACAGCCUAAAGGAGGAGUUUAGAAAACAAACGUACUAUAUCAUCAUCAACAACUAUGUGAAACCUUUCUCAACGUUUUUGUGAUUUUAUCUCGGAGCCGCUUUAUCUUAGAACGCAUAUGUGAGUUUGUACCAAAAUAAGAUUCAGCGUUUGACAGCAUUGCAUCCACGUCGUGCUUAAACGACCCCAUACUUCUGUAGUACCGAUUCUCUACUCUCUGGUGAAUCAGCUCUGGGUAUAAAGGAACUGGGAACCUGCAAAAAGGAUUUUAAAUGUAACGAAGCUGAGUUACAUAUAAGGGAAUCAUAUUUAAAGAGAGUCAGAUUGCAGCAGAGAGCAAAGCGUACCUAUUGCAGAAAUCCAUCUUUUGAGCAGCUUCGUUUAGCUUUUGGAUUCCAUAACUAUCCUGAAGAAUAAUAUUAUAGUAACAGAAAAAAAGUAACGGUUAUUAGGCAAGCAAAGAUAAAAAAAGGUAGAGAAAUGACCGGGAGAGAAGACAAAAAAAAAACCUGAUGCUUGCUGAUUGACUUCACUAGUCCAGCAAAUAAAGAAAGUAGUUUCUCUCUUGGCUCUUCGUCCAUGGUAGAGUUUUCCCAAGGAAACUGGGGAUUGUCAAACUCCCAGGGGCUGUGGAGAUUCGUGUCCCCAGUUUCAUAGACAACUUUGUAUCUCUCCCAUGGACUGUCUGGGAAGUUAGGGGACUUAACCUGUGAAGACUCGAUCCUUCCAUCCCACCAAGCACCGCCUUCACUGGACUCGUUUCUCCACCACACACGGCAUUCAUCCCCGACUUCCCAGUUUGUUUUCAUUGCAGCAUCGUAUCGAGUCUUCUCCACAAUAAAAUCCGGAAAAUUAAUGAGGUCAGGCAGUGUUAGUUGGAACUCUUUCCGAGAGGCAUGCGAUGAAGAAGAAUCCAGAACCCUGAGAGUCAUUUUGCAGCAGCUCUCGCCAGAACCAGGAUAUGUAUCGUAGUUGAGUUUCUCGACUUUACAAAACUCUACCGCUCCUAGGUUUCGUGGAAGGUACCUUGAUCGGUCGCUGUCAUUUAAUUCUCUACUUUCAAGGAACUCUUUAUGUCCCUGAGAAACGACAACCAGAGAAAGCUGUCAUUUAAUUCUCUUGAUCUAAGUAAUUAAUACAUGAAACUACCAGCCAAAAGAAAAGGACAUACCUGCUUGAAGUAAACAACUUCAUCCCCUAGCUGGGGUAUAUAGCGGCAGCUUUCCUCGUGUUCUGACAACAUCAACCAUGAGACUUUCCUUGACACAUUAUUCAACCUUAUCCCAGUAUUAAGACUUUGUUUGCUGGUACUUGCAGACCGGGACCUUGAAGUAGAAGGCCAUUCUUCAAGUGAGGCACCAUCAUACACGCUUGUGGAAGGAAUUUCUUGUUUCUUUACUUUAUCUAUUGAUGCAGAGCCUGACCUCAAACGUAAUACACUGUUUCUUGCACUAGAGUGACUUGAAGUGGCCUUCAGUCUCAUAGAUCUCUUCCUACGUAUCACAUCGGCUGUAGCUUCUCCAAACUCAGCGUUGUGAGCAGGAGAGUUUCUAACAUUAUCUCUCACAGGUUCAGAAUCCAUAACAGGAUUCAUGGAAGAGGGAGCUAUGGAUGCAAGACCUUCUCCACCAUCUCCAAAAUCAUCUGCUACCUCAUCAGGCUCUAUUUUUAGAGGACUGCUGGGGUGCCGAAGCUUUAAUCUCAGUCGUCGAACUUUCUUUGGAAUAAUCUCCUCGGCUUCCGUGGAAGUAUCUACAUCACAAUGUCUUCGCUGAACAGAGAAUGGUUCAACAAUUGACAAAUCAUCAUCAUCCCUGCAAGAGAGAAUACAAGGAAUUAGAUAGUGGGAAUUUUAUAUGAGCAUAGAUUUUCUUAGUAAUCAUAACCAGAUUUCCCGUACCCAUUAGAUGUUUGAGCUUCUACAAUGUUCUCAGACUCGGUUAAUUUGGUGGAUUCACAAAGAGGAAUCUCUUCCCUCCACUUGCACAUAUUCUGGUCCUGAUCUGAAGAUUUAAUCAAAUGAUUAUUGGCCUUUUCUCUCUGUGGCGUACUCAUAGAAUGGGGCAUAUCCUGACACCAUGACGCACCUUUUGCAUCUACAGAACUUGACCCAGCUUCUCUAGAGUAUAUACCAAUUACUUUGUGAUUAUCCUCCAAAGAUUUCGAAGAAACAUGCUCCAAAUCAGCUUGACUCAUUACACCUCUCUUGCUUUCCACAGACUCUGUUGGCUUCUUAACCGAGAUCUUUACAAUCAAUCUUUUCUUUUGUUUGUCAUUUGAAAGAGAUUCCAGCUUCUGAGAUGGCUUUUCCAACUGUUGCAAAGGUGAUGCGCUUCUAUCAGAGUCACUAUUGGAUGAAUCAUCAGCUUCAUCCGAAGAGCUUCCAGAAAUCUUUGAAAGCAAGGACCGAGCAUUUUGCGCGGCUGCUCUUUGCGGUCGUGAUUCCUUGACAUCAGAAUAUCUUCUUUUUG
rnacentral:lncRNA from 1 species